GAUGAACGCUGGCGGCGUGCCUAAUACAUGCAAGUCGAGCGAACGGACGAGGAGCUUGCUUCUUUGAUUUUAGCUGCGGACGGGUGAGUAACACGUGGGUAACCUACCUAUAAGACUGGGAUAACUUCGGGAAACCGUAGCUAAUACCGGAUAUGAUUUUUAACAUCAGGGUUCUACAUUGAAAAACGGUCUUACUGUCACUCAUAGAUGGAUCCGCGCUGCAUUAGCUAGUUGGUAAUGUAACGGCUUACCAAGGCAACGGUGCAUAGCCGACCUUAGAGGGUGGACGGCCAACCGGGAAGUGAGAAACGAUCCAGACUACUGAGGUAGGAAGCAGUAGGGAAUCUUCCGGAAAGGGCGAAAGCCUGACGGAGCAAAGCCGCGGGAGUGAUGAAGGUCUUCCGACGGUAAAACUAUGAUAUUAGGGAAGAACAUAUGUGUAAGUAACUGUGCACAAAUUGACGGUACCUAAUGAGAAAGCCACGGCUAAAUACGUG
rnacentral:rRNA from 1 species